GCACGUGAUCGUUAAUAAAGUUAUACCUCUGAUAAUGUAUAUUGGUGAGCCCCAAUGGAAAAUCAAAGGUGACUUGGAGGUUUUAAUUUGAUAACAUUAUUUUGACAGAGUUAACAUUUUGCACUGACCCAAAUUAGCAUUUAUUAAAGUAGCAUAUGGGCAAUAACAUCUACUGGCAAGUCAAUUUUAUUCGUUGGGGGGGGGGGGAUAGCAAUUUUCCUUCCUUGUAUAACUUGUCUUAAUGGCACGUGAUCGUUAAUAAAGUUAUACCUCUGAUAAUAUAUAUUGGUGAGCCCCAAUGGAAAAUCAAAGGUGACUUGGAGGUUUUAAUUUGAUAACAUUUUUUUGACAGAGUUAACAUUUUGCACUGACCCAAAUUAGCAUUUAUUAAAGUAGCAUUACCAAUUCAACUUUUUUGCAACUUUGCUAUUUUGCACAUUAUCGGGGACUGCUACCGUAGAAUCCCGAAAAUAGCCUCCCCCCCCCCCCCCCCCCCCCCC